CACUGUUUCUGUUCUCUGGACCCUGCCUUUUGGAUUUCGAUUUGUUUCUGGCUCUCUGAUCACCUGGUUCUGACCUUGGACCGCUCACUGGAUCCCCUGACCCCUCUCGCUUCCCCUGGACCCAAGUCCUCUGGGACCAACUUCUGUGGACUCACCCAGACUAAUGUGUCUACAGUUAAAAGAGUGUGCCACCCAGAGGGUCCAGAGGUUCCUCACAUAACAGUGAAAUAAUAAAACUUUUAAACCUGUUUUUGUCUUCAGUGGUGCUGAAUCCUAAAACCCCUUCUGACUUUAUUGGAUGGAAAUGUGAGUGAGGAGGAAAUGAUUCACCUACAGAGUGAUGAUGUUAUGGACAUGUACCCAUUUUAAGUAUUUUGUUUGGUCUGGUUACACUUCACAAUAGGUCUGUGUGUUGACACUGUGAAGGGAAAGGUGUGUAGGACGGGUGCCAGUUUUUGUUUGAUUCAGUUUCUCYUGUUUUUGUAAUCUAGUGAGGUAAGAUUAAUGUAAUUUGUUUGUUUAGUUUUGAUGGACAGGACAGCAGUUACUCAGAAAGUUAGAGUAUUUUGUUUGUUGUUUUGGCUGAAGCCCAGUCUGAAGCUAAUUGCUACUGUUUUCCCUUUUAUUACUUCAGUGUUUAAUUCUGGCCAUGAGUAACUGUUAAGGCACCACAUUUAAUGUUUUUCUUUUCUCUUUAUUUACUAUGUUUAUUGUCAUAUAUUGUUUGCCUAAAUAGUUUUCUUUUUUUCUUCUUCUCACAUAUAUCUUUUAUUAUUAAUUUUGUUUGUUCAUUUGAUUUGACUCAGCCCUUUAUUUUUGACUGAGCACCAGGAGCAGGAUGUGUCACGGCUCUGAGGAUUUCUUUCUUUCUUUUAUUUUUUUCUGUUGACUAAAUAAGUGAGAUGAUGUUAACACCUCACAUAAGUAGUUACAAACCUCACAGAACAUUACCACUUGGACACUUAUAACUUGCUGUUGCUCAUCAGCACUGUAUAAACAUAAUGAUAAAGUUUGUUUUCCAUGCAUGGUAUUGAAACUUGUCAUUUUUUUGCAAGAUACUGGUGUGGUGUUUUCUGUGUUUCCAGGAGGACACCAGGCUGAUUCUGUUACAUGGACUUUGGACUCAAAUUCUUGGACAGGACUCAUAAAUCUGUAGAGGUUCGGCAGUACAAAGGACUUGGACUCUGAGUUGUGAUGGCUCAAACAUUUUUGCCACAGAACAGGACUGAAUCUGGCACCAUGGGUGACAGAAAACAAAAACUACCGUUGUUAAGAACUCUUAUAAUCUUUUUUACGUGUUUAUCAUUUUGGUUUUUAUUCCUUAUAUCAUAUUGUUUGAUGUGACAAUCCUUUACUACUGUAUGUGUUACUUGUUGUUUUGACUGUCUUAUUAUGAUCAUCUUAUGUGGUGAGCUGAGUCUCAUAGAAAUAUCUAACUCACUUUGUGUUUAUGCAUGGCUCACGUUACAUUUGUCCUUACUAGCAUAGGUAACAAACCGGGACGAGAUUCGCAUUGAAAAGUCCCUAAAAUUAGUUUAUGUUAAUUGUUAGAUUCGAACGGAGAUUUCCUUCACAGAUUGGCAUGGAGUGAGGAUUUCUCUGGGACCUAAGGUCUUUUCCCCACCCCUGUUUCAUGGGGAGGUUUUUCUGAUCGUGAUGGGUCAUUUUAGGCGAAUUGCAACGAGUCAGCCUUCAGGUCCCCUGCAGUGACACAGAUUUUUAAAUGAGUAUGCAUGGAUUGUUUGUCCAUGUCAGUCAUGGAGGUGUUUACAGUCAGGAGGCCUGUGGGGGUGGCUGAUGUAGCCGUGUUUGACCUUAUUAGAAAAUUAGGCUUAGUUUACCUACUUUUAAAGUAAUUUAAAAUAAUGUGCRCUUAGGACUUAAAAUAGGUUAUUAGCUAAAUUAGACAACCUCUAAAUUGUAGGCUGUACCGUUUUUUUAUUUGCUAAUGGACAAGUGAUAUUAUCCAAUGAAUUUGAACAGCAAAGUUCUUGUGUUGCAGUGGCUAUGGUGUUGUCUUUUCUCGAUUUAUAGCCAAUCCUUUAUUUUUCUUUCAGGAUUAAUUAGUCCCGAAGGGGGAAAUUAUGUAGUGUCCAAAGAGUGGGGGACCUCUUCUCAGGAAUGCACAGAUGUGAUGUCUCUUAGUCUCUAGCUUUAGAGCUCGGCACAUAUGACCAUAUUAGGAAGAAGAACGCUUAAGGUAUACCAUGACAAGUUUAUGGUACAUCUGUGAAAGCUUAUAAAGAGCCUUGUAUGCCCCUGCUCUUGGCCUUCRUCUUCAUCUUCUUACUUGGUGAAUCAUUUUGGCAUUGGAGGCCACAAUUUGGUUUUUGGCUGUAAUCUCCUGGACUGCAAAAAUAUUCUUGCUGUUCAAUCAGCCUGUUUUCAGAGUCCUCUCUUCAAUUUAGCAACAGCAGUUCCACUUCAACCAGAAGUCGUGGUUUCUACACCUCAUAACAAUAAGCGUUUUCUUGAGAUAAUGAGUUAAUUACGUCUAGUCUGACAGGGUCUGAUGCACCCACAGUUGUGCGACCAGGAUUUUCUGUUGUUCAUGUCUUCAUUGUGCUCAAUUUAACUGUCUGCACCCAUCAACAACUGAACACCAAAUGUUUCUGCUGUGAUGCAAUAAUACCCAAACCAUAGUGACUGACAUUAUGUUCACCUUUAUUCAACCAUGUACUGUACCAGCCCUUUAAACUCAYUAAGAAUACAGUUUGAUAAUCAACCAUAGUUUCAUACAGAGAUGCACAGGUGGAGCACAGGUGUGUUGGUUUAUCCUCUCACAUAAGUUGAAGUGGCACAAUUAUUAUGCAUGAAUUACUUUAAAAAUAAAAGAUCAUUAGCAUUAAUUAGAGAAUAAUCUCUAACAGGGAGGAUUGAAGUGGCAGGUCCAGACUAGUUGUGUAAGCCAAAUUAUUUCUGUUAUAUACAGUUUGCCAUAUUUGGUCAGGAAUGUUCUGGUCAAAAAGUUACUUUCAUUGGUGUUUGUGGGUCUCAAGGUUUGUYUACAAUGGAGGAAGAACAGGGGGUGGACCGAUUAACUGGAAAUGGUGAUGGAAAUAAGUUCUGGGAAAUGUUACAUAAAAGUUUCCAAUAUGUGCGUUUGUGAGAAGUCAUCUCGAAUCUUGGCUUAGUUUGAUCUGAUGACGUGCAUAGAAUGUAUAAAAGACACCAAAGUCGUGACUUCAGGGGUUCUCUCCCAUUCUUGGUUUGUUCAGUGUCUAACUGUCUGAGAACCUCAUGACUUCAAUAAAACUCCCUCAGCUGUC